rnacentral:rRNA from 1 species
CCCUUAGACACUCUAGGCGGCACGCGCGCUACAAUGGGUGGAAGAACGUGUUACUGCCUCCGAAAGGAGGGGUGAAUCACGAAUUCUUGCCCGUGAAUGGGAUAGUUUGUUGCAAUUUUCGGACUUGAACUAGGAAUCCCUUGUAAACAUGCUCAAGAAUAGCGUGUUGAAUACGUCCCUGCCGUUUGUACACACCGCCCGUCGUUUCUUCCGACUGAUACUCAUUGUGAGUUGCAAGGACCCUUUAUUGGGAAAUUGCUGCAAAUGUUUUGUAUUGGAGGAAGAAAAAGUCGUAACA